rnacentral:rRNA from 1 species
UACGAAGGGGGCUAGCGUUGCUCGGAAUCACUGGGCGUAAAGGGUGCGUAGGCGGGUCUUUUAAGUCGGAGGUGAAAGCCUUGGGCUCAACCCAAGAAUUGCCUUCGAUACUGGAAGUCUUGAGACCGGGAGAGGUGAGUGGAAUUCCGAGUGUAGAGGUGAAAUUCGUAGAUAUUCGGAAGAACACCAGUGGCGAAGGCGGCUCACUGGCCCGGUUCUGACGCUGAGGUGCGAAAGCGUGGGGAGCAAACAGG